UAAAGAUUGCAAACACCUGAAAAUCCAUCGGCAGAUCGAAGAGAAGAAGAACAGCAAUUCUGGAAACAGAAAAACAACCACUUUCUGAAAGGUGUUUUCUUUUUUUAAAAAUUCUUUUCUUUUCUUUUUUUUUUCUUUUCUUUUUUUUUUUUUUUUUUCUUUCUUCCUUUUUGAACCUCUUUUUAUCCCCUUU